ncrna:unclassified sequences c-di-GMP-II-GAG riboswitch
UCACGAGGUAGAGGCCAACAACCCCGCCCUACGGAAGAAACGGGCACCCGACAGGGCCCGGGGAGCCAGUGGUGCGACCGACUACCUUCUAU